rnacentral:lncRNA from 1 species
UUGGUUUGGGUAACUGGGUAGAUGGGGGCGCCAUUAUCGCGCUUCUCUUGCAGGGGGCCGGUGAAGGUUAUACGAGAGGCUCCAUCUGUCCUUAUUGAAAGUGCUCUUAACGCAGGGACCAGCCUUCUUGCUGACGCCUGGGCCACCGAGCACAGGGACAGGACGGGGUUGCUGGAGGUGCAAGCUGGGAGAAAGCAGAGAACUGACUCCAUGCAGAGUUGGGAUUAAGAGCCCCUGGACAAGGGGCCAAGGCAGUGAAGGACGUCCAUCACUCAUCUGCCACUAUCCUCCUCACAUUUAAUCCUCACAACACCCCUGUGAGGUAGGUAUCAUCGCCCCCUCUUACAGAUGAGGAAACUGAGGCUCACACAUGCCCAGGGGCACACAGUCGACAGGACGGGUCUACAGUUCCAACGCUUGGGUUCUCACCCCGACCACGCCCCACCCAGGGUGGCCAGAAUUCCCUUAUAGUAGCAAAAAGACAGCUGCCGCGGACAUGAAUACACACAGCACCAGCACACAUAAAAGCAGCAGCUCAGUGAGCAUCUCCCAGCCCUGGGUUUCUGGUUCAAGCGCAUUUGGGGGCCAGGCGCCGUGGCUCAUGCCUGUAAUCCCAGCACUUUGGGAGACCGAAGUGGGCGGAUCACCUGAGGUCAUGAGUUCGAGACUAGUCUGGCCAACAUGGUGAAAUCCUGUCUCUACCGAAAAUACAAAAAUUAGCUGGGCGUGGUUGGGUGCUUGUAAUCCCAGCUACCCAGGAGGCUGAGGCAGGAGUAUCUGGGAGGCGGAGGUUACAGUGAGUUGAGAGUUGAGAUCAUGCCACUGCACUCCAGCCGGGGAGACAAGACCAAAACUGUCUCCAAAAAAAAAAAAGCAUCUGGGGGACACUUCUGGCCAAGUGGUUCUUUCUUACAUUUGCAGAGUAAACAGAAGUGGAUGGCAGCAGGGUGUGUUGUGGUCAGCCCGUUCCCAGGGAGAGGCCAUGGUUACAUGGCCCCAGGCAGGCUCCCCAGGAGUGGGCUGCUGGCUCCCAGGCUCCCUUUCCAUGCAGGAGCAGAGUCUCCGUGGCCAGCAGGAAAGCCCAGGGGUCUGCCUCCCUCCCACGGGCCCCCACAGCAGAGCUGCAGUUGGGAUCAGCCAGGACACGGCCCCCAACUGCUAUGCUCUUCUGCCUCUUGGUCACCUCAGAUGUUACAGAGGACUUCAAGUUUUUUCUGGCUAGCCUAUCUGGGAAAAUUCUUUUUGCAUAAAGUGUGUCAGGAUGGCAUUGAGGGGCUGGAGUAAGAUUUUUGUUUUGCAGGUGAACCUAAAUAAUGGUGGGAAUCUCUUGUUUUUUUAAUACCUUCUGUUUUAAGUUUUUCUUUUGUUUUCAUCUUGGAAGAAGGAAAUUUAGAAAUAAGACAGGAAAAGAAUGGCCCAGAAAUUCAGCACAAAGAGAGGUGUUCACAUUGACGCCAUCUGUGGGUCACAUACGAACGCCUCUGGGACAGAGCUCUAAAACGAGUCACGUGUUGUAGGGAGUGGGCCUGUGGCCAAGGCAGUCCACGCAGUGUGCAGGGACGCAGGCCCCCUUACCAUGGAAGCCCCACCCAGAAGGAAGUGGGUGCCCCAUGCAGGCUGAGGUGGAUGAGGGGACAGUGGUGUGCUCACAGCUGUCAGCUCCCCACUGAAGCCGCAAACCAGCAGAUGUGGGCAGGGGCUCGAGUGGUGUCUGACUACCCAGGUCACACGUGACUUGAGCGUGAAAGCUGUCAGCUCCCGGCACGGGGCUCUGGUGGGGCUGGGAACACCAGGACACACAUGGGCUGAAGCUUCCAGAGACAGUGAGACACGGAAGGGACAGAGAGGUGCCCUCCACGCAGUGCGGCCAACUGUUUCCAGGCUAAACUUUCCAAAGAGAGAGAUCUGAGCUCUUCACCCUCAUUUCAACAUUCUGAUGGCUUGCACGGGACUCCCGCGGAGAGAGAAACUUGGUGGCCGCAAGUCAUCCUCUCUGCAAUCUGUGCAAAGGCCUCCAUGGUCUAUGCAGCGUUCCUAUGCUAUGCUCCCACCCUUCGCCUCCAGCCCCCUCAGUACACAUCCACUGCGGCAAAUGUGCUGACACACUUACAGCCUCACAAGGCCCAGGUUCAUGUCCUCCUCCUCACUGUGUAUGCAUAGGUUUAUCCGCUUCACCUGUUGCUGGGGAACACUGCUCUCCGGGGGACUUGGGGGACGACACUGUAAACAUGACUUCCUGGCCUGAUGGUGGCAGGGCUGUGUGUGCGAGUCACUGUCCAGGGACAGCACUGAGGUAGGUCGGGGCAGGGCCCCCAAGCCACCGUCCACGGAGCUUGUGGGACUUGCGGUGCUGACGGAGGAGUACCCUGAGGUCGUGACAUCCUUCCCUGGCUCCCGGCUGGUGCGGACCAGGGGUUUGGGUCCAGGGGUUGCAGGGAUCUGGGUGUCCAGCGCCAGUGCCUGUGGGUCCUGGGGUCCCUUGUCCUCUGGGCAAGCCUCCUCAUCACUGGAUUCCUGGCAGCAAUGCUGUUCUGGGUUCAGGUAGACCACGGUGACAUCGAGGAUGCCGCUGGGAGCUGUCACUGCAGGAAGGUUGGUGGGGAGGGAAGUCAUGUCACACCCAAGCAUCAGGGGAGACCCCCUGCCAGGUCAGGACCCUGAAGUCCAGGUCAAGAAUCUUCUACCUUGCUACGGUCCCCUGUGUUACCCUCCUGUGGUGAGAAGCGUGGGUGACAUGCCUCUUCCAAGUUGGACAGCUGCCCGCCAUGACUCCAACAAAUGUGGAGAUGACAAGUUGGCCAUCUAGCUCAAGCCAAGUGGACGCAGAAGCAAGCAACCGGGAAACUGACAAGACUCACACUAACUGGGCUUCUGGCAAGGACCCCGCAGUCUGCCUGGGGUUUGCACAGGGCAGUGAUCCCAGCAGGGCAGUGAGGAGUGUCACGUAUACCACGUGGGCACACCUCAAACAACAUUCUAGAAAGAACGCCCAGGCUAGAGUGCAGUGGCAUGAUCACGGCUCACUGCAGCUCCCACCUCCUGUGCUCAAGAGAUCCUCCCACCUCAGCCUCCUGAGUAGCUGGGACCACAGGCGCACGCCACGACGCCCAGCUAAUUUUUAAAUUUUUUGUCUUGCUCUGUCACCCAGGCUGGUCUUGAACUUCUAGCCUGGAGUGAUCCUCCUGCCUCAGCCUCUCAAAUUGCUGGGAUUACAGGCCUGAGAUUACGGGCCUAGAAGGAUCUCCAUGAACUCUAGACAGGGUCUCUGCCUCCCUCAUCCUAGUGAGGUCCUCCCAACACGGAAUGAGCAGGAGCCGGAUAGGUGUGGCCUAAGUCCUCUCAUCCCCGUGUGGGAGCAGCUGUGGUCUUUUGGGGGCUCUCCCCUCCUCUCUCCCCAUGUCUGGACACACUCCCCGGCGGGGCAGGAGCUGGCCCCACCCCGCACUCUGUGCACAUCUUCCUCCCACAGCGCUCGCACAGGGCCAGGUGCCCUGAGGCCCUCGGUGACAGCCACCCUCUGUGUGAUGUCCCUUCUGGUGCGCCCUGGCCCCACACUCACCAUCGCCCUCCUUCUCGCCCUCACUCUCCUGGUCGCCUUCAUAGCCAGAGCAGCAGUCCAGGCUCCAGUCGAGGAAGCUGCCCAGCAGCGUCUCCUCCUGGCUGGACAGCUCCGCAGUGGGGGUGGUAACGAAGCUGCCCCUGUCUUCCUGGAGGCUGUUCUCCCGCUUCCUGUAAGGUGGAGAGCCCAGGAGACCCAGUCAUGGACGGCGGCACUGGGAGGCCAGGCCCGCCACACCUGCCUCUAACACCCGCAUGCCCCAGCCUGUCACCACAUGCUCCCAAAGGGUCUGCUGCGAAGAAAAUGCCGGUAAAGCUAGAACAGGUAUAAGCCCUUUAGGCAGGGCCAACCUGGAGGACCCCGCUCAGGCAAACUCAGGCCCCAGGUCUGGGUGUGAAGCCCAGCCCACUUGGCUCAGCUGUGGGGCGUGGGCCAACCAUCUGGUCCCCUGGAAACCCCUAGGAUGAUGCCACCUUCCACUGUUUUUUUUUUUUUUUUUUCAGGUGGUCUUGCUCUGUCACCCAGGCUAAAGUACAGUGGUGUGAUCUUGGCUCACUGCAACCUCCACCUCCCAGGUUCAAGUGAGUCUCCUGCCUCAGGCUCCUGAGUAGCUGGGACUACAGAUGCCCGCCAUCACACCCAGCUAAUUUUUAUAUUUUUAGUAGAGAUGGGGUUUCACCAUGAUGGCCAGGUUGGUCUCGAACUCCUAACCUCAGGUGAUCCACCCACCUCAGCCUCCCAAAGUGCUGGGAUUACAGGCAUGAGCCACUGCGCCCAGCCCCUCUGGUGUUGAUUAAUAAGGUGCAGGCAGUGCUUAGCCCGGCGCCAGGCAGAUUGCAUGGAAUGGCCUGGCCUUGGGCGGUGCUGACACCCACACCCAAGUGGGGUCAAAUCUUGCUCAGGAUGGGGCUGGAGGCCAGUGUGUGGGCCUCAGCCUGCGAAAAGCCACCACACCAGCUGAGCCUUUCCACUUCCUGACCCCAGGGCCUGGUGGAGGAGGGGGGUGGAGACAGCUACCCCAGUGUCACCCCUGGGGGUCUGUUUCAGAAGACUGAUGGGGCUGUGGGGGGCCUCUGAGAAGCGGGUUUAACACAGCGAGGCUGAGCACAGGGCCAGGCCCCCUCCUGGAGUAGCCGUGCGUAUCUGCAUGGACUUUCCUCCUGAUGACCCUGGCCCCAGGGAGUCGGCGCAUGUGUGGAGUGACACAGGAGGGUCAGGUCUCCUGCCUUCCACACAAUGGAAAGUGCUGUCAUGCUUCUUGGGGAGGAAGCAGCAGCAGGGGCUUCGGCUGCUUCCCCAGGGCUCCCCAGGAGUUGCGGUCUCCUGCCAGGAGCCCACUCCCGACACAACGCUCCUGGAGGCAGCCCUGCCUGGUCCUAUAUUGACAGGAAAGACCCAGCCACCCAGUGCCCGCCCUUGGGAAGGUUACGGGUGCACACGGUGCUGAGCAGUCACGGCGCAGGGCCAGCAGCACGGGGAGGGCCCUGUUCAUCGGGGCCUUGUGGAAUCAGUAGGAGUUCUCCAGGCGGGUGAGGUAGAAAGAGGAAGUUAACUCCAGGAGGAACAGCCAAGGUGCUGAGAUAGGAGAGGCAGGUAAACAGGUCCACACGGGUGGCGAGGGAAGUGCUGGGGAUGUGACUCAGGUCACAACUCGAGUGCCGGGAGUGACAGCAGCAUCAUGGAGCAGAGAAGUCCAGGACGCGCAUGACAGGCACGGGCAGGGCUAGAGCCAGGCUGGGCUCCCGCGUGCUCGAAACCAUCUUCCUCCACAGGGAGCCCAGUCAGAGCGAGAGGCAAUAGCCUCUGAGGAAGGAGACCUGGGCUGGAGACAGUGGAGGUUACGCAGGGGCCCGAGGCAUGACUGCAGGGCUCCGUCCCAGGGUCACUGUCCUGGGAUCUGCUGCUCCCCUGACAAGCCUUGGGGGCCUCUCUGUGUGAGGAAGCGCUGAGGGAACUGGGCCGGCACGAGGAUGCCAGCAUUGUAUGGCGCAGCCAGAACGCAGGGUAACUAACCGUUUGGUUCUUCGCCCCGAGGGAGAGCUGAGGAAGGCGUGGAUCUCCCCUGUGCUGAGGAAAGUCGGGGGGUCGGGGCUGUCUUGUGUCACUCCUAAUGCAGCACACAACUGGCUGUAGCUCAGCACCUGAGGGGAAGCCAGAGUUAGGGGGUGCAGAGGCCCCGAGGGUGAGGCCCACCCACACCCCAGCACCCCAUGAGAUGCCCAGGUGGCGGGAGGGAGGCACCUCUUCCUGGCUGAUUUCUCCGUAGCGCUUGUCCUCAAACCGCUGCUUCACGGCGGUCAGAGAGACUUGCCUGUAGUCCUUGGGGGCGUCAUCGUGGAAGCUGGAAACAGAGUCACGUGGAGUGGACAUGUGAGGCACCCCCACCCCAUUUUUAGCUUCAGUUCACUGAAGUGAGCAAUGAGAAUGCAAAAUGGUGCAGUCACUCUGGAAUCUGACCUGGCAGUUCCCAGAAUGGUUAAACUCAGUCACCACAGGACCUAGCAAUUCCUCUCUAGGUAAAGACCCAGGAAAAAGGAAAAACUAUGUCCACACAGAAACCUGUACUAGAAUGUUCAUGGCAGGACUGUUCACAAUAGGCAAAAUGUCCACCAGCUGCGGGAUGGAUAAACACAUGUGGUCCAUGCAGGGGACUAUUAUUCAGCCAUGAAAAGGAACAAAGCAGGGACACAUGCCACAUGGACAAACCCAGCAAACGUUACAGCGAGGGAAAUCACCUAGACACAAAAGGCCACUUGUCCGAUGACGCCAUUUAUAUGGAAUGUCCAGAAUGGGAAAAAUCCAUGGACUGAAAGUAGACUACUGGGGGUCAUCUAGCGCUGAGGAAGUUGGGGGGAACGGGAGGGUGACAGCUGAGGGGUGUGUUGUCCCUUUGAGGAAAGUGAAAAUGUCGUCAAUUUGAUUGUUGUGAUGACAAGCACAACUGUGUGAAUACAAGCCCAUUAAAU